GAGGUAACUCGCUCUCUGAUUGGCCCGAGCUUCCGUCCGUCCUAUCCUUCCCUGUGGCAACUCGCUCUCUGAUUGGUCCGAACUCCCGUCCGUCCUCUCCUGCCCUGUGGGAACUCGCUCUCUGAUUGGGCCGAUCUCUCGUCCCACCUCACUCUGAGGCAACUCGUUCUCUGAUUGGCCCGAGCUCCUGUCCGUCUUCUCCUGCCCUGUGGCAACUCGCUCUCUGAUUGGGCCGAUCUCUCGUCCCACCUCUCUCUGAGGUAACUCGCGCUCUGAUUGGUCCGAGCUCCCGUCCGUCCUAUCCUGCUGUGUGGCAACUCGCUCUCUGAUUAGUCCGACCUCCUGUCCCACCUCUCUCUGAGGCAACUCGCGCUCUGAUUGGCCCGAGCUCCUGUCCGUCUUAUGCUGCACUGUGGCAACUCGCUCUCUGAUUGGCCCGAGCUCCCGUCC
rnacentral:lncRNA from 1 species